GCGGCUGUAGCUCAGGGGUAGAGCUCCAGUUUCACAAACUGGAGGCCGUGGGUUCGAAUCCCAUUCGCCGCU
rnacentral:tRNA from 1 species